rnacentral:rRNA from 1 species
UACGUAGGGUGCAAGCGUUGUCCGGAAUUAUUGGGCGUAAAGAGCUCGUAGGCGGUUCGUCGCGUCGGCUGUGAAAUCCCGAGGCUCAACCUCGGGUCUGCAGUCGAUACGGGCGGACUGGAGUUCGGCAGGGGAGACUGGAAUUCCUGGUGUAGCGGUGAAAUGCGCAGAUAUCAGGAGGAACACCGGUGGCGAAGGCAGCUCGCUGGGACGGUACUGACACUGAGAAACGAAAGCCAGGGUAGCAAACGGG